rnacentral:lncRNA from 1 species
CUUAAUGUUUUAACGCGAUAGAUAAAAAGAGCUCGUUUCCAAGAAAUUCUAGCGUCGGUGUCGGCGUCAUUGGUUGUGAGCGAAAAAUGAUCAUCUUGUCGGUGACCGAAAAAACGAGCGAGAUGCAAAUAAAAUAUAUAAUAAAGCUCUUCGGUUCGAGUG